ACCUAACAUCUAGCCUAAAACCAAAAGAAGAUAUAAUCUAACUUAAAACUUAAAAUACAAAAAUUAAAUCAUUUUAUUAAUCCCCCAGUAUGUGAGACAGA
rnacentral:rRNA from 1 species